rnacentral:rRNA from 1 species
GACGUAGGGCGCGAGCGUUGUCCGGAUUUAUUGGGCGUAAAGAGCGUGUAGGCGGUUUGGUAGGUCCGCUGUGAAAACUCGAGCUCAACCUCGAGACGCCGGUGGAAACCAUCAGACUAGAGUCCGGAAGAGGAGAGUGGAAUUCCUGGUGUAGCGGUGAAAUGCGCAGAUAUCAGGAAGAACACCCGUGGCUAAGGCGGCUCUCUAGUACGGUACUGACGCUGAGACGCGAAAAGCGUGGGGAGCGAACAGG